rnacentral:rRNA from 1 species
UAAGGGCCCACCAAGGCGACGAUCAGUAGCCGACCUGAGAGGGUGAUCGGCCACAUUGGGACUGAGACACGGCCCAAACUCCUACGGGAGGCAGCAGUGGGGAAUAUUGCGCAAUGGGGGCAACCCUGACGCAGCAACGCCGCGUGAGCGAUGAAGGUUUUCGGAUCGUAAAGCUCUGUUCUGAGGGAAGAUAAUGACGGUACCUCAGGAGAAAGCCCCGGCUAACUAC